AUUCUGGAGUGAAGGAUCUCUGUGGUUUUCUACAGACUGAAGGCUGCAGACUGGAGACAUUGAGGUUGAAUCGCUGCUGGUUGUCAAAGAUCAGCUGUGAUUAUUUGGCUUCAGCUCUGAAGUCCAACAGCCUCCAUCUGAAAGAACUGGACCUGAGAGGAAACAACCUGAAGGAUUCAGUUGUUCAGCAGCUGAAGGAUCUUGUAGAUGAUCUAAAGUGGAGGACAAAUGAUUCUGAUGAUUCUUACUUAUACAUCUUCUGAUCUCUGUAAAGUAGAGAAUGAUCUCUGUGUCCUGCUGAUCCUCAGAGGUUGAAGCUGCAGCAGUUUGAGUCUAAAGAGACUGACAGGAUCAUGAUGAUGACCUCUGACCUCCAAGAUUUUCCUCCUGUUUAUUUUCUCAUGUCUGUCAUUUAGUGUCUGAUAUUGUUUGUCUCUUUGGAUCAAUAAAGAUCCAAUUCAAACUGGGCUCCAUUUAGAGGCUUGAUGGAGUUUUGAUCUGAACUGGAUUCAACUGGAAAGUUGAUCUUUUUUCUCUCUGGUUCAUUUUCAUCCUGGAACCAGAAAU